rnacentral:rRNA from 1 species
UACGUAGGGUGCAAGCGUUGUCCGGAAUUAUUGGGCGUAAAGAGCUCGUAGGCGGUCUGUCGCGUCGGAUGUGAAAACCCAGGGCUCAACCCUGGGCCUGCAUUCGAUACGGGCAGACUAGAGUUCGGUAGGGGAGACUGGAAUUCCUGGUGUAGCGGUGAAAUGCGCAGAUAUCAGGAGGAACACCGGUGGCGAAGGCGACUCACUGGACAUGUAUUGACGCUGAGGUGCGAAAGCGUGGGGAGCAAACAGG